AUCGAACGCUGGCGGCAGGCCUAACACAUGCAAGUCGAACGAGUGGCGGACGUGUGAGUAAUGUCUGGGAAACUGCCCGAUGGAGGGGGAUAACUACUGGAAACGAUAGCUAAUACCGCAUACCAUCGGAUGUGCCCAGAUGGGAUUAGCUCGUAGGUGGGGUAAAGGCUCACCUAGGCGACGAUCCCUAACUGGUCUGAGAGGAUGACCAGCCACACUGGAACUGAGACACGGGCCAGACUCCUACGGGAGGCAGCAGUGGGGAAUAUUGCACAAUGGGCGCAAGCCGGAUGCAGCCAUGCCGCGUGUAUGAAGAAGGCCUUCGGGUUGUAAAGUACUUUAAGCGGGGAGGCGUUACUCGCAGAAGAAGCACCGGCUAACUCCGUGCCAGCCGCCGCGGUAAUAC
rnacentral:rRNA from 1 species